AGAGUUGGGGAUACCCGAAGCCUGUGAGCUAACAGUAAUGAAGCAGCAGUCGAAGGUAGAAUCAAUGAUUGGGGUGAAGUCGUAACAAGGUACC
rnacentral:rRNA from 1 species